rnacentral:misc_RNA from 1 species
GUGAAUCAUCAAAUCUUUGAACGCAAAUUGCACUCCCUGGUAUUCCGGGGAGUAUGCCUGUUUGAGGGUCGUUAGAAAAAAAAUCGAAGCGUCUCUCUUUUUUUUUAAGGGUGAUAGCGUCGUAAUUGAGCCGUCUUUCAAAUUUUAAUUCAUGUAAAAUUGGCUUGAAUUUCAUCAAUCCGUUACGAUUAAAGCGUAUUUAAGAUCAACUUUGCUUAAUAACGCGCGAUGAACGUACCAUCCCAUGUA